rnacentral:misc_RNA from 1 species
GAUGAAGAACGCAGCGAAAUGCGAUACGUAAUGUGAAUUGCAGAAUUCAGUGAAUCAUCGAGUCUUUGAACGCACAUUGCGCCCUCUGGUAUUCCGGAGGGCAUGCCUGUCCGAGCGUCAUUGCUGCCCUCCAGCCCGGCUGGUGUGUUGGGCCCCGUCCCCCUUCCCGGGGGGACGGGCCCGAAAGGCAGCGGCGGCACCGCGUCCGGUCCUCGAGCGUAUGGGGCUUUGUCACCCGCUCUUGUAGGCCCGGCCGGCGCCAGCCGACCCCCUCAAUCUAUUUUUCAGGUUGACCUCGGAUCAGGUAGGGAUACCCGCUGAACUUAAGCAUAUCAAUAAGCGGAGGA